GACGAACGCUGGCGGCGUGCUUAACACAUGCAAGUCGAGCGGAAAGGCCCUUCGGGGUACUCGAGCGGCGAACGGGUGAGUAACACGUGAGUAACCUGCCCCAGACUUUGGGAUAACCCUCGGAAACGGGGGCUAAUACCGGAUACGACACAGCUUCGCAUGGGGUCUGUGUGGAAAGUUUUUCGGUUUGGGAUGGGCUCGCGGCCUAUCAGCUUGUUGGUGGGGUGAUGGCCUACCAAGGCGACGACGGGUAGCCGGCCUGAGAGGGCGACCGGCCACACUGGGACUGAGACACGGCCCAGACUCCUACGGGAGGCAGCAGUGGGGAAUAUUGCACAAUGGGCGGAAGCCUGAUGCAGCGACGCCGCGUGAGGGAUGACGGCCUUCGGGUUGUAAAUCUCUUUCAGCAGGGACGAAGCGUAAGUGACGGUACCUGCAGAAGAAGCGCCGGCCAACUACGUG
rnacentral:rRNA from 1 species